UGUCAACGUAAAGGAGGCAGAGCAUGGGACUUACAAAUUCUCUUAAUGCCUUAGCAGUGGGUGUGGCGUUCGCGUUUGUUGGAGUGAUGUUGUUCAUCUGACACGCACCUUGGAGUUAUCGGCCACAUCAAGCAGUUGAUUACAAAUUGCCAUUAAAAAAACGCAGGUUUUUCGAAACCUGCGUUUU
rnacentral:sRNA from 1 species